rnacentral:tRNA from 1 species
AGCUUUAUAUUCAAGUAUGAUAUAAAAUUGCAAAUUUUAGGGUAUAAUUUAAUAGUUAUUAAGGCUU